rnacentral:rRNA from 1 species
CCUACGGGGAGCAGCAGUGAGGAAUAUUGGUCAAUGGCCGGAAGGCUGAACCAGCCAUGCCGCGUGAAGGGCAGGGCCCUAUGGGCGUUAAACGUCUUUUGUGCGGGAGCAAGAAUGGGCACGUGGGGCCAGACGAGAGUACCGUACGAAUAAGCAGCGGCGAACUCCGGGCCAGCAGCCGCGGUAAUACGGGGGAUGCAAGCGUUAUCCGGAGUUAUGGGGUUUAAAGGGUGCGUAGGCGGUGAGGUAAGUCAGCGGUGAAAUGCCCCCGCUCAACGGGGUGAAGUGCCAUUGAUACUGCCUUGCUGGCCUGCGGCUGCCGUGGGCGGAAUGUGUGGUGUAGCGG